AUCGAUGAAGAACGCAGCGAAAUGCGAUAAGUAAUGUGAAUUGCAGAAUUCAGUGAAUCAUCGAAUCUUUGAACGCACAUUGCGCCCAUUAGUAUUCUAGUGGGCAUGCCUGUUCGAGCGUCAUUUCAACCCUUAAGCCCCUGUUGCUUAGCGUUGGGAGCCUACAGCACUGUAGCUCCCCAAAGUUAGUGGCGGAGUCGGCUCACACUCUAGACGUAGUAAAUCUUUCACCUCGUCUGUAGUUGGACCGGUCCCCUGCCGUAAAACACCCAAACUUUUAAAAGGUUGACCUCGGAUCAGGUAGGAAUACCCGCUGAACUUAAGCAUAUCAAU
rnacentral:rRNA from 1 species